GAUGAACGCUGACAGAAUGCUUAACACAUGCAAGUCUUUGGCGAAGCUGUGCUUGCACAGCCUAGCCAAGGCGGACGGGUGAGUAACGCGUAAGGAACUUGCCCUGCAGUCAGGGAUAACAGACGGAAACGACUGAUAAGACCUGGUAAAGUCAGGCGGACUCAUGUCCAGCCUGAUGAAAAGAGAUGCUGCAGGAGAGCCUUGCGUCCUAUUAGCUUGUUGGUGGGGUAACGGCCCACCAAGGCGAUGAUAGGUAGCCGGCCUGAGAGGGUGGACGGCCACAAGGGGACUGAGAUACGGCCCAUACUCCUACGGGAGGCAGCAGUGGGGAAUAUUGGACAAUGGGGGCAACCCUGAUCCAGCAAUUCUGUGUGCACGAUGAAGGUUUUCGGAUUGUAAAGUGCUUUCAGCAGGGAAGAAAAAAAUGACGGUACCUGCAGAAGAAGCGACGGCUAAAUACGUG
rnacentral:rRNA from 1 species